GUCUCUUUGGAGACAUCCAAUAAAAUUGGAACGAUACAGAGAAGAUUAGCAUGUCCCCUGUGCAAGGAUGAAUAAUCAACAUUUGUGUUUGAUGAAUCUUGC